rnacentral:lncRNA from 1 species
UUUAAAAGAAGGUUUUUUUUGAAAAAGGUUUCUUUGACCAUUAGGGCCACGGGAGGAUGGAAAUGGACUCCUUCACUGUGGGUGCAUGGGUCUAGAUUCAGUGAGCACCCCGAGAACAUCACAAACAGUCAGAGGCCCCGUAACGCACAUCUAGCACUGGCCCUGGUACACACACUCUCAACAUUUUUAGAUAGUUCAGUUUGGCUGACGAUUUGGUAGCUAGAGCCUACUGAAUUUAUUAAACAUUGGACAUUUUCCUACUUUAAAAAAUUCUUGAAAUAAUUUACAGGUUAAACUUGGUAUGAUGUUUCAAAGGGCUAAAAUCUACUCUCUGAAGGAAGGAGAAGACUUUAGGGGUUUCAGGCAUUGCAUAGACUCUGGUUUCUUUCUGUCUUUUUUUUUUUUUUUUUUAAGAUUUUUAUUUAUUUAUUCAUGAGAAACACAGAGCGAGAGGCAGAGACACAGGCAAAGGGAGAAGCAGGCUCCAUGCAGGGAACCUGAUGAGGGAUUCGAUCCUGGGACUCCAGAAUCAUGCCCUUGGCUGGAGGCAGGUGCUAAACCGCUGAGCCACCCAGGGAUCCCCCUAGACUCUGGUUUCUAGAAGCAAAGGCAAACAAAGACAUUGGUUUAUAGAAAUCUCGCUUUCUGACAACUCCCAAUAUGCACAUUUAUUCACAGAGAUAAUUAGUAUGUGAAAAAUAUCUUCUUUUUUACAAUUAGAUUUAAGCAAGAAUUUAUGGAGUCCUGUGUGUAGAGCACACUACAAAGGUGCUGUUUAGAAAUAGAAUAUUUAAUCAGAUCCUCCUAAAUUUCUUUCCUCCUUGCAGAUCUCCUUUUUCAACCUGCUUUGUAAAAGACACCUGGAGGAUUUACAACUUGACUUUCUAUGAGGGCAGAAGGCGUAACAUGUAUGCAUUUGUGAGCCUCCUGAAACACACGUGGGAAAAGAUAUUUUCACCUCUCCAGGAGAGGGAACUAGAGAUGUUCUGCAACUCUGCAAGCAAGUAAACCAGCCCAAGACCCAAGACAGCUGAGGUAUGGGCCAGUGUAGACCUAAGCAGUCCCAAAUAAAACUUACAUUUGUAUUUAGCUGGUUAAUGAUAUUGUGAUAUAUCACACUUUUAGAGGUACUUUCUUUCUUUUUAAAAGAGUUUAUUCAUUCAUUUGACAGAGGAGAGAAAGCACAAGCAGAUGGAGCAGCAGGCAGGGGGAGAGGGAAAAGCAGGCUCCCUGCUCUGUAAAGUAGGGCUUGAUCCAGGACCCCGGGAUCAUGACCUGAGCUGAAGGCAGAUGCUUAACCGACUGAGCCACCCAGGCGUCCCUUUUAGUUACUUUAGUUGCCUAUUUGUAGUUCAGAUUUUCAGUAAGCUUUGCUUGUAAUGUUGUCUAAAAUGUGCAUUAAAUUUCACAGAAUCCUCAUUAUAUUUUUGUACCUUCAGCUUAAGAGACUCAGAACGAAUGGGCUAUAACUAAGUUAAGUCGGGGGGGAGGGGGGCGGGAAUCCCAACAACCCAUGUGGUCCUAAACUCUGGUCAGAAUUUCCCUUCUUCCUUUCUUUCUUGGUUCAUGCCAAAUCCAGUUAAAGACACCCAUUUCCCAGCCUCCCUAGUGGUUAUGAAGGCCAUUUAACAUGCUUUGUCCAAUGAGACAUAAGUGGAAGCCGUCUUCUUUGGCUGAUAUAGAUGCCACUUUGUCACUUCCUUCUUUUCUCUACCUGAUAAUGCAGAUAUGAUGGCUAAAGCUUUGGCAAUCAUUUUGUGACCAUGAGCAAAUGGACAAGAAAUCCAGAGGUCUCAGUAGCACUGAUCUGUGCACCACUGAACCAAUACUAGAAACUAUUUUAUCAGAACAACUUCUACUUGAGUAAAUAUAAGCUUCUAUUUUGUCUAAUCUACUCUUUAAUUAGAUUUUCUCCUAGUGAAAGUCGACUGCAAACCAGUUAAUGUGAGAGUUAAUCUUAACAAUAUUAAAUAGGAUUUUUCAAAAGUUGUUAGGCAUAUUAUUGACUACCCAGGUAAAGCUUCACUGUAAAUAUCUAUUACUGAUGUCAGUAAAUUAUGCCAUAAGAUCCAAAACAUCCCCGCCCCUCCCCACUUCUCCCCAUGCCCUGCAACUUGAAAUCCUUGCCAAAAUCCAGUGAGUUCCCCUCCUUACCUUUUGCCUCUUCCAAAUCCCACCCACCUUAA